UGUGAAGGUCUUCUUGCCCUUUGAGACUAGUUGUUGGAGAUCUUUUCGACAUAUAGAAGGGAGCCGACUAGGAGAAUAGAUGCAACAUGGAUAUAGAGACUCAAAGUACAUUCUAAAAUCAGUCGCUUUGUUUGGAAGGUUGCUUAGAGUCAUCUCUCGAUGAGGGCUAUCUUGAGUGUUCAUGGGAUGGAUCUCCCAUCUUUCUAUCCUUGUAGUGAUCGGGAGGA
rnacentral:lncRNA from 1 species